rnacentral:rRNA from 1 species
ACACGUAGGGGGCAAGCGUUGUUCGGAAUUAUUGGGCGUAAAGGGCAUGUAGGCGGUUUGGUAAGCCUGAUGUGAAAUCCUGCAGCUUAACUGUAGAACUGCAUUGGGUACUGCCGAACUUGAAUCACUGAGGGGAAACUAGAAUUCCAGGUGUAGGGGUGGAAUCUGUAGAUAUCUGGAAGAAUACCGGUGGCGAAGGCGGGUUUCUAGCAGAUGAUUGACGCUGAGGUGCGAAAGUGCGGGGAGCGAACAGGAUUAGAUACCCUGGUAGUCCGCACCGUAAACGAUGUACACUAGGUGUCGGGGCAUGAGUCUCGGUGCCAAAGCUAACGUAAUAAGUGUACCGCCUGGGAAGUAUGCCCGCAAGGGUGAAACUCAAAGGAAUUGGCGGGG